GUGCUCACUUCGGCAGCACAUAUACUAAAAUUCAAACGAUACAGAGAAGAUUAGCAUGGCCCCUGCACAAGGAUGACACGCCAAUUCGUGAAGCGUUCCAUAUUUUU
rnacentral:snRNA from 1 species